AGAUUUCCUUGUAUUGAAUUAUAACUUGGAAGCUUCAUAGGUUAACCCUUGAAGUCUCUCUCUAGAUUAAAAUAUGGGUUAAAAAAAAUCCCUAAUUAUAGAAUCAUAGAUCUUUGAGACAGAAGGGACUUCAAGCAGUUCUUUCAUAACGCCAUCUGCCCUAAGUUGUUAUCAGGAGGCUUAGGUGACUUGCCCAAAGUCAUAGAUGAAUAGAUAAUGUCAAAAGUUCCUACAUUUUGGAUGUUCUUCCAUUCCAAGCAGUUUAAGAAUGAUAAUAAUAACUAAACAGCAAAAACGCCCAUUUGCCUAUCAUAAGCUUUUGAAAGAUGCAGGAGGCAUGGUGAUUGAUAUGAAGUGGAACCCCACUGUCCCCUCCAUGGUGGCAGUUUGUCUGGCUGAUGGUAGUAUUGCUGUCCUGCAAGUCACGGAAACAGUGAAAGUAUGUGCAACUCUUCCUUCCACAGUAGCAGUAACCUCUGUGUGCUGGAGCCCCAAAGGAAAGCAGCUAGCAGUGGGAAAACAGAAUGGAACUGUGGUCCAGUAUCUUCCU
rnacentral:sRNA from 1 species